AACAAACGCUGGCGGCGUGCCUAAUACAUGCAAGUCGAACGGGGAAAGCUUUCGGGUGAGUACUAGUGGCGCACGAGUGAGUAACGCGUGGAUAAUCUGCCUUAGAGUGGGGGAUAACUAGUCGAAAGAUUAGCUAAUACCGCAUAAGACCACAAGAACUGCGGUUCAAGGGGUCAAAGGUUUUUCGCUCUAAGAUGAGUCCGCGUAAGAUUAGCUAGUUGGUAGGGUAACGGCCUACCAAGGCGACGAUCUUUAACUGGUCUGAGAGGAUGUUCAGUCACACUGGAACUGAGACACGGUCCAGACUCCUACGGGAGGCAGCAGUAGGGAAUAUUGCACAAUGGAGGAAACUCUGAUGCAGCGACGCCGCGUGAGUGAUGAAGGCCUUCGGGUCGUAAAGCUCUGUCGCAGGGGAAUAACACAAUGAAGGUACCCUGUAAGAAAGGAUCGGCUAACUUCGUGCCAGCAGCCGCCGUAACAC
rnacentral:rRNA from 1 species